rnacentral:rRNA from 1 species
UACAGAGGGUGCGAGCGUUGUCCGGAAUCAGCUGGGCGUAAAGGGCGCGUAGGCGGCUUGAUCAGCGUGCGGUGAAGCCCGGGCUCACCCGGGUCGGCCGUGCGAACUGUCGAGCUGGAGCACUGUAGAAGGCAGGUGGAAUUCCGGGUGUAGCGGUGGAAUGCGUAGAGAUCCGGAAGAACACCGGUGGCGAAGGCGGCCUGCUGGGCAGUGGCUGACGCUGAGGCGCGACAGCGUGGGGAGCAAACAGGAUUGAGAUACCCCGAGU